rnacentral:rRNA from 1 species
AGAGAUGCACUGGGUAUAAAGCGUGCGCAGGCGGUUUUGUUAGACAGAGGUGAAAUCCCCGGGCUCAACCUGGGAACUGCCUUUGUGACUGCAAGGCUGGAGUGCGGCAGAGGGGGAUGGAAUUCCGCGUGUAGCAGUGAAAUGCGUAGAUAUGCGGAGGAACACCGAUGGCGAAGGCAAUACCCCUGGGCCUGCACUGACGCUCAUACACGAAAGCGUGGGGAGCAAACA